rnacentral:lncRNA from 13 species
UGGGGCCGAGGUUCUUCAUUUCCUGGGGACUCCCUGGGUGGGGAGGACAGGGUGAGGCUGGAGGCUUCUGGGCUGCAGGGAGAGAUGCUGAAGGGGGAGUGGGGCCCAGGAGGACAGCCAGACCACCCCAACCUCCCCGACACCUCCGUGUGAAUUGGGAAAGGGGGCCCUAAGAUUCCUUCAGCCAGGCAGGCACUUUUGUGCAGUGCACAACCUGCACAACCCAGGGUGGCGGCCUUGUUGUCAGCCCUCGGGGAGGCGGAUCGAGGCCAGGAGAGCCCCUGCUGCCUCCCCUUUUGCUGCUGGGUUCAUAGUGACCCUGCUCUGCCCAGGCCGGACCCAGGAUGUGAGUCUCCAGGCUCUGAAGGCCUUCCAGGACUUCUACCUGAUGCUGGGGCUUCCGGAUGACAUGGUGCUCAUGCUGCCCAAGUCAGACACGUGCAUCCCUGAGAGCAAGGAGAAGCCCUGAUGCCUCUGGACCCCACCCAGCCCUUCCCAGGGUCCUCAUCCAGGCGACUCACCAUCCUGUUCAGCUUUGCACAGUGUUCCCCACCAUCCAGG